CGCGCAGGCGGUGAUUUAAGCAGGAUGUGAAAGGCUACGGCUCAACCGUAGACAUGCACCCUGAACUGGGUCACUUGAGUAUUGGAGAGGCAGGCAGAAUUCCUGGUGUAGCGGUGAAAUGCGUAGAUAUCAGGAGGAAUACCGGAGGCGAAGGCGUGGGGAGCAAACA
rnacentral:rRNA from 1 species